GUGCCAGCCGCCGCGGUGAUACCGGCAGCCCGAGUGAUGGUCGAUCUUAUUGGGCCUAAAGCGUCCGUAGCUGGCUGCGCAAGUCCGUCGGGAAAUCCACUCGCCCAACGAGUGGGCGUCCGACGGAAACUGCACAGCUUGGGACCGGAAGGCUCGAGGGGUACGUCCGGGGUAGGAGUGAAAUCCCGUAAUCCUGGACGGACCACCGGUGGCGAAAGCGCCUCGAGAGGACGGACCCGACAGUGAGGGACGAAAGCCAGGGUCUCGAACCGGAUUAGAAACCCUUGUAGUCC
rnacentral:rRNA from 1 species